GAUAAGUAAUGUGARUUGCAGAAUUCAGUGAAUCAUCGAAUCUUUGAACGCACCUUGCGCUCCUUGGUAUUCCGAGGAGCAUGCCUGUUUGAGUGUCUUGA
rnacentral:rRNA from 1 species